rnacentral:misc_RNA from 1 species
ACACCUCAACUCUCAUGGUUUGCCAUGAUGGGCUUGGACUCUGGAGGUUUUGCUGGCCUGUGGUCAGCUCCUCUCAAAUGGAUCAGCUUACCAGUAUUUGGUGGCGUCACAGGUGUGAUAAUUAUCUACGCUUGUGGUUGUCUGCCGAGUAACCUUUGGUGACAGAGGUUCGCUGGAGCUUAUAAACGUCUCUCCUCAGCGAAGACAGCUUUUUGACC